GAUGAACGCUGGCGGCGUGCCUAAUACAUGCAAGUCGAGCGAACACAUGAUGAGCUUUCUCCUCUUCCGUUAGCGGCUGACGGGUGAGUAACACGUGGAUCACCUUCCUCUUUUUCUUGGAUAACUUCGUGAAUCCGCUUCUACUACCGCAUAAUAUAUUCUACCGCAUGGUUCAAUAGUUCAUCACGGUUUUCCUGUCUCUUUUAGCUGGUUCCGUGUUGCAUUAGCUAGUUGGUAAGGUAACGCCUUACCAAGGCUACGAUGCGUAUCUGACCUGAGAGGGUGAUCGGCCACACUGGAACUGAGAAACGGUCCAGACUCCUACGGGAGGCAGCAGUAGGGAAUAUUGGACAAUGGGCGAAAGCCUGAAGGAGCAAAGCCGCGUGAGUGAAGAAGGUCUUCGGAUCGUAAAACUCUGUUAUUAGGGAAGAAAAAAAGUGGAAGAAAAUAUGGACGUAUUGACGGUACCUAAAGAGAAAGCAACGGCUAACUACGUG
rnacentral:rRNA from 1 species